rnacentral:lncRNA from 1 species
UUUAGCAACACUCUAGAUAAAUCCAUACAUACGUAAAACGAGCAUAAUAAUAGUAGCUAGUAGGAAUUAUAUCCCAACAAUUCAACAAGAACGAACAAAGUAGUGAUAUUCUCACUCUCAUAGCAAUACUACAAAUAAUAGGACAAAACAAUAUUUGUAAACACACGAGUGGUCCAUAUAGUUCUCCAGAAAUCCCUAAAAUAGAUCUUGCAUCUAGGUAUGCAACACCACAUGAAAGGCCCAUACCAUAUGUGAUUAUGAACCUUUAUUUAACUACAUAUAGAUAUAGUAGUACAACAAAUAUUACUGUCCGGCUGGGAAACGAAACCGUCAAUAUGCCACUGACAAUAUGCCGAUAUAAUUGUCGCAAACAAAACGUACUCACAUGUUAUCGAUACAAUUUCACCAAUAUUAACGGACAUAUAUUAUUUCAACAAUGUCGAUGCACACAACCUUUAUUUAAUAAAGAACUGAUGGCUUGCAUAGAGAACUUCUGAGAUAUUCAUCAGAGACAUAUAUGUAUACACCAUUUUUAUUAAGGGGUGGUGGUUAUUGAAGGUGGAGAGAACGGAAAUAUGGGAGUUGAUGGGAAAUUUGGAAGUGAAGUAAUAAUAGGGGGAGGCAACCUAUAUUCUGGCCAUAAAGGUGCGGGGGUCAGAGGAGGAAACUUCAGGUUCCGAGGAGGAAACUUCAGGUUAGGGAUCUUAGGCAGCUUAUAAUGAGGAAAGGUAGGGGCUAAGAGUUUUCGAGGAGCGGCGAAAGCUAAAUGUGUGCUUGAAAGUAAUGAAGCGACGACAAAGAUAGCUAUGACAAACGAUUUCCAAGUGGCCAUCUUAGUGUGUGGAAAUAAAGCUGAUGAAAUUUGAUGUGGACGAGAAGACCAGCCUAUGGUUAUAAUUUAUAACGUUGAUUCCAUUGGGAACAAGAACAACCCCAUUUAUUUUUGGUUUUAAAUGCUGUAAAAUUCUGUUGAAAAAUAAAAAUAUGUCAGAUGCCGGUAUGGGUCAAAAUUUAGAAUAGGAUAGUACUAAUUUGUAGUUUUCCAUUAAAAGUCUCGCAGUUGGUAGGUACACCUAUCAUUGUCUUGGUUUCUAUUUUGCUUUGCCAUGCCAUUCUUCACAAAGAGAUAUGCCAUUUUUCUCGUUCUUCUUGAAAAGGAAAGGUUGAUAGAAUAAUUAAUCUCAAAGAUAAAAUAGACUUUGGCUGGAAAGGGAUAAUGAAAUGAUUGAAAAAGGCGAUGCGGCCCUUUGUUGUUUUGUUGCCGAUAACAAUAUAUAUAUAUAUAUAUAUAUAUAUACAGAGAGCUUUCAUUGAGGGAUCCUUCAAAUAAGCUUAUUUGAGGGACACCCCUUGUAGGCCCCAUUCCGGAUUGUAUUUCACUAAUCCAAACCGUCUAUUUUGUACAUACUCAUUCAAAGAUCAUCUCAACAAAAAAUCACUUGAAUCCGAUAUUAUUUGACCACUCAAUUAAGCUAUUGAAAUUUUAGCAUUUUCUUGAAGCAUCGUAUUCUUUGAUUUUGUAAGACACAAUUGGAUGUCGAAAUGGUUUCCGAUUUGUCUAAUUUUUUGUAAGGAUGAUCUAUGAAUAAAGACCUAAAAAAUAGAUGGUUUGGAUCAUUGGGAAAAAAAAUUGUGGGGUACCCUAAGGGGUGUCCCUCAAAUAAAAUUAUUUGAGGGAUCCCUCAAUAGAAGGGGACUGAUAUAUAGAGAGCUUCUAUUGAGGGAUCCCUCAAAUAAGCUUAUUUGAGGGACACCCCCUUGUAGGCCCCAUUCCGGAUUGUAUUCACUAAUCCAAACCGUCUAUUUUGUACAUACUCAUUCAAAGAUCAUCUCAACAAAAAAUCACUUGAAUCCGAUAUUAUUUGACCACUCAAUUAAGCUAUUGAAAUUUUAGCAUUUUCUUGAAGCAUCGUAUUCUUUGAUUUUGUAAGACACAAUUGGAUGUCGAAAUGGUUUCCGAUUUGUCUAAUUUUUUGUAAGGAUGAUCUAUGAAUAAAGACCUAAAAAAUAGAUGGUUUGGAUCAUUGGGAAAAAAAAUUGUAGGGUACCCUAAGGGGUGUCCCUCAAAUAAAAUUAUUUGAGGGAUCCCUUAAUAGAAGGGGACUGUAUAUAUAUAUAUAUAUAUAUAUGUUAUAUUGUUGUUUGGGUGUGGUCUCCAAUUCCAAGUCAAGUCACGUCAAGUCAAUGGUCUCAAUUUCAAGCCAAGUUAAUAGACUCAAUUUCAAGCCAAGUCAAGUGGUUCCAAUUUCAAACUAAGUCAAGACAGACUCAACUUCACAAGAAAUUAUUAUUUACAAUGAAAGUAAAUAAAUGAAAGACCAAGGAGUUUUGGUUGGGAUUUCACUCAAAGGCGAACUAGUGGCCCAUGGAUUCUCUCUCUCUCUCUCUCUCUCUCUCUCUCUCUCUCUCUAUAUAUAUAUAUAUAUAUAUUUAAUACGAAGGAGUAAGAAGUCAUAUGAACUUUGGCCAAGUUUCUUGAAAAUGCCAAAUUGCCUAAAGAUCUUUAGGCAAAAAGAUCUGAUGAAAGUUCGAAGGCUAACUUUAUGGCUUUAUACUAUCUAUAUAAUAAUAUUUAAACUCAACAUGAUGCAGAUGGACUCAUUAGAAUUCUAAAUCACCCAACAUCAGUGGAUUAUGUUUAAUCAAAACUAGAAACUCCGGAAACCAUGAUGUCUCACCAGAAGAAAAUAAUGCCCUGUUGAAACUGGUGAGUUCGUACUCCAUUGGUACGCUGAGAAGGCUAGACAUGCUGCAGGUUUCUAAUGAAAAGAUUCUGGGAGACCAGGAGAGACUCAUGGCUAAGCUUAAGAGGCGCCAUUCUCUUCCUUCAGAGGCUUCCAGAACAUAAUGUAAUCUUUUAGAUUUUACAGAGCCUGCACCUUUAUUGCAGGUGGAAAAUCUAUCUGUUGUAUGCCUUCUUUCAUGUUAUAAUAAUUGUGCAAAUUCUUAAACUUGCACCUGUGGUUUUUACGUCUUUUCAAAAUGACGAUUUGGAACCUUGUGUCUUAUAGGUUCAAGUAACCACAUCAAAUCUCUCAAAUUACAUAUUUCAAUGCAUGUGAGCCCGGAACUUCUGGCUCGGGCUAAACACGACCUCAGAAUUUAUUCGCCCUUUUCAAAUAUGCAUGAAAUAUGAAUUGAGGAAAAGUCAUGAUAAUAUUGUAAUAUAGUAGUGAAGAGCAUUAACUACUAUAUAAUCAAAACUUCAGGUUCAGGACUUUUCAUAUAUUGGGAUCAAUGGGCUUCUAGCCCAGAUCAUAUAAUAUAACCAAAUAUGUGGGGAGCCUCAAUUCAUCAUUUGAGGUUUAUCCUGAUAUUAUCCAUUUCAUGGUGCAUUCUUAACAACCGGAAUUCACAAAAUAUAUUUCUUCCUUGAGGUGUCGAUUGUAACAGAAUUGAACUUUAUUAAAUUUAUCAUUUCUUAUGCCAAAGAAAUAUGUGGUGUACCACAAUUUGCAAUAAUACCUCAAGGGUUGCCCAUUUAACUAUAGGAACUUCAAGUUCUCAAUAUUGCCAUAUUUUAAACUUUAUGCCAAAAUCAUAUAUUCUUAUAGUAUGGGCAUUCAAUACUCUUAGAUUUUGAACUUCAGGCCAAAAUCACAUAUUCUCAUGGUAUGAACAUUUUUACAAUUUUCUGUAUGUAUUUUGGGACUUCAAGCACUUACAUAAUUGUCCAUAUUUUGAGAAACUUCUGGCAUCUCAUUUAAUUGCUCAUUUAUGAGUUUAAGGAACUGCAUGUUCCCUUUUGUAUAUAGUGACAAUUUACCCAAAAUGGUUAAUAUUUAUGCAUAUGUCACUAUUCAUGUAUACGAUACUAUUCAUCAAGUCAUGAAUACGUAUCUAUUCAUGUGUACAGUACAUUUGCUAGUACAGUUAUUAUUUAUGUGUACAUCACUUUUAACCAAUACGGUACUGUUGCAUCAUCAAGGAACUCUAGGUCUUUAUUUACAUGUCAAGGAUCAAGGAUCUUCAAGUCCGAUAUCUUGUUUACAAGUAUAGUAAACAAGAGAUUGUCAGCUCUCAUAUCAUUAUCAUCAUCAAGGAUCUUCAAGUCCUGAUGUAGUUGUAUGAUGGGGAUCAAAGAACUUUUGGUCCUGAUCUGUAUGCUGUAAAAACUCAUCAUACUGCACAAUUAAUCCAUAAAAUAAAUUGCUUGUAAAUAAAUUGCUUGAUGUAUGGACGUUAAUCCUGCGCCAUACCUUAAAUAAAAUUAAAUAUGCGGUAAAGUAAAUUCAUAAAUUAAAUUGCUUGCUGUACGGACGUUAAUCCCACACCAUACCUUAAAUAAAAGUAAAUGUGCAAUAAAGUAAAUUGCUUGUUGUAUUGGAGUUAAUUCCACACCAUACAAUAAUAAAGUAAAUGUGCUUGUAUGAGCACUAAUUCUGCUCCAUACUUUUAAAUAAAAGUAAAGGCAGUUGUGUGGACGAUAAACCUGCACCACACUUUUAAAUAAAUAUUGUUGUAUGGGUAAUAAACCUACACCAUACAAGAAAUAAAUUGUAUGAGUAAUGAACCUACACCAUAUAGUAAAUAAAAUAACUGUGGGAAUAAAACCACCACUAAAAAUAUAGGAAGUGAAACCGUCUAUUUUUAUUAGUUGUUAGUAAUAUGAAAGCAAAUAAGUAUAUUAUAUUACUAUCAACUUUUCAUAUCAAUAUUAUAAUUAUAUAUAUAAGAUAACCAUAUAUAAUAAAUUGACAGUUAUCGCUUCUGACAAUCGUGGAUUAUAUAUACUAGAUUAAGACUACCAUAUCAAAUAAUAUUCUAUAAAUAUCACUUGUGUAUAUACAUAUAACUUGAGUAUAUUGCCAUUUAUAUAUAUAAUAUGUUAUAUCAAAACCAAAAAGUUAAUGAUGCUUUAAUAUAAUAUAUAAAGCAACCAUAUAUCAAAAGGAAUCAUGGCCGACAAUGAAUCAUUGCAUAUGUGCAUGUUUUCAACUUUGUUGCUUUCACUCCUGCCAUUAGCACUCAAACUGUUUGUAUAAUCAGCAUAUAUAUAUAAGGUAGCAUUGAAUAAUGUAAAGUAUUAAUAAACGAAGAAGAUGAAAAAAUAGUGAGCUUAUCAUGUUUUGGUGGAUUUGCUCGUAUAUCUCUCUAGCAGACCACAGCUCCUUCUCUUUUCUUCCUUACAUCAACACAAUGAUCAGUAGUAUAAAUAAUAGUGCAACACAAAAAUUAUACAUGAGAGCUUCUCGUGCUAAUAACGUGUUAUACAAUAACUGGAAUAUGUGCGAAUAUUGAGCUGCACGUAAAGUGGAUGAGAAACAGUAACUUUUCCACUAUGUAAAAUAAUAGGGCUACAACUUUAGUGUUUACAAUAUAUGUAGCUCACUAAUUUUUCUCUCUUGGAGAAUUUCUCUCCUCUCACCCACUCUCUUUCUUUCUUUUCUUUCCUUCCUCUCUGCCUGACUCUCUUUCUUCUCUCAGUUGGAGUCUUCACCAAAGGAAGGGGGGAAGCCUUAUUUGUAGGCAGAAUUUUGUGGCUGCUUACUCAUUUCUCUUUGGCUUCACGUGGGUGUUGACAAGCAUCAUCAUUACUCUUCAAUUAAUUAGGUAGUGUGCUCUACCAUUUUGGCCUCCACAUUCUUGACUUUACAACAAGUAUAUAUUUUAAUAUGGAGGAGUAAGAAGUCACAACUUUGGCCAAGUUUCUUGAAAAGGACAAAUGGCCUAAAGAUCUUUAUAAAAAAGAUCUAAUGAAAGUUCGAAGGCCACCUUUAUGGCCUUAUACUAUCUAUAUAAUAUUAUUUAGACUCAACAUAUAAGGUAUAAUCAUAGUCUAAAAUAUCGAUAAUAUCGACGAAAUUAUCAUUUUUUCGAGUCACAAAUAUUUGGAACGUAUCCACACAUAUCGUAUAAAUAUCGAUAAUAUCAGAAAAUAUCGAUGUCGAUAAUUGUGCUCACUCACUACUACAAAAAAGGAAAAAGACGACGGUAAAUCACCGUCGUGUAUUCGAUUUUUCAAUGGUCGUGGAAUCCACCGUCAUCUUUUCCCUCAUAUACCACGACGCUAAAUCACCGUCGUUGUUAAAAUAUACAACGUCAUCAACAAAUACAAAACGACGUCUUUGUACUGCAAAAAGAUCUAAAAAAGCAGUCGAGGAUGAGAAUAGACGACCAACUCUCUAAAAAAACCGUCGUUAAAAAGGAAAAAUAUGACACAUAUUAAGAGAACAAGGCCGCAAGAUAGACAUACAACGACGGAAAUAAAACAACGACGCCGUUAAAUAUCAUUUUCACGACAAUAAAAAAUUUGACGUCUUUAAAUACAUUAGAAGACGACGUUAUUGAUACCUACUACGUCGCAUAUAUAAAAACAGCCGUCGUAAAAUUAAUUUUCCACUUCGAUUUUUCGAUAAAAGAUGACGUGGAAAUAGUUGUCAGUGUCAUUAUUUACGACGUAUGUAUUUAUUGAGUAGACGUUGAAAAACUAAACAACGUCGGUUACAAAUAUAUGAGAGUCGUAUUACAAAAUUUAUACGUCAUAUUUUCAGAAACAAACAACGACGAUAAAUAUUAGACGUUGUUAAAUAAAACAACGUCGGAAAACAAUAAAAACAGACGUGUUUAGUCUGCUAAAGUUCUAGAAAAUAGUCGAGGAUGAGAAUAGACGACCAACUCAAACAAAUCACCGUCGUUAAAAAGGAAAAAUAUGACACAUGUUAAAAGAAAAAGGCCGCAAGAUAUACAUACAACGACGACAACUAAAAUUUUACGCCGUUAAAUAUAAUUUACACGACAAGAAAAAAUAUGACGUCUUUAAAUACAUGAGAAGACGACGUUAUUGAAAUAUACUACGUCUCUUAUUUACAAACAACCGUCGUGAAAUAAAUUUUCCACUUCGAUUUUUCUAAAAAAGAUGACGUGGAAAUAGUUGUCAGUGUCAUUAUUUACGACGUAUGUAUUUAUACAGUUGACGUUGAAAUGCGAAACAACGUCGGUGGCAUUUAUAUAGUCGACGUUGUAUUUAUAUCUAUCAUCAUUACUCACGACGCACUUAAUAAUAUAGACGACGUUGAACUUCUAAACAACGUCGGUUCCAAAUAAAUGAGAGCCGUAUUACAGAACAUAUAGACGGCGUUGAUUAUGAUGAGAGCCGUAUUACAAAUAACGUCGUUUAAUUGUUAUUAGACGGCGGUUAUAAUGAAUUUCCGUCGGAAUUCAUUUCGUUCCUCUUCGUUUAUAAAAGAACUUGCGACGUGGAAAAUGUAUGAUGACGUCGUAUUUUUUAACGUUCAGAUUAUAUAUCUCGUUUUUUAGACGUCGGUAUUAUGGGAUUGGAGUCGUGUUAUUUUGAAUUACAUGGCGGUUCUUAAUCCUUCCCCGACGUGAUAUCCUGAUUAAUUGCUUCACAAUUGCGUCGUGGUUCUUCAUUGUUACGUUGCUUUAAGACGUCGGUAAAUAUGCUGAAUAACUGGUUCACAAUAACGUUGUGUUUUAUUUGAACGUAGAAAGUGAAGAAAUCACAUUACAAUAUAUUACAAAAUUAAUGUCAUACACUGCCAAUUACAUAAGCAUCAUUCAAUCCAUAUAUCUUCACACCCAUCUCGAAUAUUUUGACCGCCUAACUCACCCACCAGUUCAUCAAAUGUGUCAACAUUUGGCAUCCCUCUAGUAAAUGGCUCACACUCAAUUAUCACAUCACCUAAGACUUCAUCACCAAUAACAUCAUUAUAUUCUCUAUUAGGCAUUGAUAACACUACCGACCAACCACGAUGCAUCGGGUCGUCAACAAAAAAUAUUUGUUUGACUUGAGAAGCCAAAACAAAUUGGUCAUUCCUAUGUCCAAUUUUACUCAAAUCUACAAGGGUAAAUCCAAGUUCGUCGACUACAAGACCAGAACUAUCUAUCCAAUCACACCUAAAGACUGGGAUUGUAAACUUUUGGUAGUCAAGGUCCCAAAUUUCUUGAAUGACACCAUAGAAACCCAUAUUUGAGAGAAUUGGGUUUUUAUCCUUGGCACUAGCAACUUGCAUGGUAUGUGCAAGUAAAUAAACUCCACUAUUUUGAGUUGUCCGCACAUCAUCUUGUGCCUUGAUAUUGAAUUUAAUACCUUUAAUAAGAUAGCUCCUAUAUAAUGGCACUGACAUGUUUGGACCAGCUGCUAGCCACCUUAAAUUUUCUGAUACGCCAUGAUUGUCUUCCUCAAGUUCACUUUGAACCUGCAAAUUAAUCAUAUCUUAAUUCAAUCUAACAUAUAAAUAAGAAGAAAAUUAAAAGAGAAAUAUGUUAUUCAACAAUAUAUACCUUGAAGCGUAGCCAUUGAAUGAAAGUGCUAUUGUGCUUAUCCUGCAGCCACUUUGUUCUCUUUCUAAAUUUUGGAUAAGCAGUCUUGAUGUGAAUCAUAUGUUGCCUACAUGACACGAAAAAUUCAAGCAUUACGGUCCUAAAUAUAGAAGAUAAACAUAAGAAAUAAUUUAAAAUGGAAACUUAAAGAAUAAAGCUCAUACGUACUCGAUAUAAGGUAGGACUUCCUCCGUAUUCUCCAAGACAUAUAGAUGUGCUUGAUUCAACAGGUCCUGAUCAACUACGCUCACUGUGCAACCUGAUAAUGGCUUUGAAAGUCCCAUCUUUUGGCUUGAAGGCACUCCAACUGUACUAACAUCAGAUAAAUGCUGAGUACAACACUCUACCGCUUCUUCAGCUAUAUACCGCUCAGCAAUGCAACCUUCGGGACGAGUACGAUUCUGAACAUACCCCUUCAGCACUUUCAUAUAUCUUUCAAACGGAUACAUCCACCUAAAAUAUACUGGCCCACAUAGACGAACUUCUCUGACAAGAUGUACUACUAGAUGAACCAUGAUAUCAAAGAAUGAAGGGGGAAAGUACUUCUCAAGCAAACACAGAGUAACUACUACAUCUUCUUCCAACUUAUCUAGCUUGGAAACAUCAACAGUCUUUGCACAUAUAGCAUUGAAGAAGAAGCACAAACGAGUUAUUGCAUACCUUGCAGGCUUCUCCAAAACAGAACGAAUUGCCACAGGGAGCAAUUGUUGCAUUAAGGUAUGACAAUCAUGUGAUUUAAGGCCAAGAAGUCUUGAAUCUUGUAAAGAUACAAGAUUUUUAAUAUUUGAAGAAUAACCUUCAGGGACCUUCAUACCAUAGAAAGAAUUGCAAACCUCUCUCUUCUCUGCUCUUGACAAAUUCCAAGGCCCAGGAGGCAAACGAGUACGUCUUUCUCCAUACUCGGGUUGCAAAUCAGUUUUGACCCCCAUGUUCAAUAAAUCUAAUCGAGCAGCAAUCCCAUCUUUAUUUUUUCCAGGGAUCUCCAGCAAUGUACCAAUGAUACUAUCGCAAACAUUCUUCUCAAUGUGCAUAACAUCUAGGGCAUGCCUCACAGGAAGGUAUUUCCAAUACUCGAGAUCAAAGAAUAUUGAUUUCUUCUUCCAACAAACUCUGUCACCAUUUUCAACCAUAUGCAGCACUUCUUCUCCGGUUAAUGGCUCGGGAGGUAUGCCAUAUUCAGGUUUCCCAUUAAAAGCUGCACGUUGCCUCCUAUAUGGAUGAUUGAUUGGUAACCAUUUUCUAUGCCCAAUGUAACAAAUUUUGUGGCCAUUUUUCAACCUGUGACUAGGUGUAUCAUCGCCGCAUAUUGGACAAGCUUUAUAUCCUUUAACAACAGAACCAGAUAAGUUUCCAUAGGCGGGGAAAUCAUUAAUUGUCCACAUUAAUGCAGCUCUGAGUGUAAAGUAUUCUCCAUUAUGUGCAUCAUACACUCCUCUAAUCCCAACCCACAAGGAUUUUAAAUCAUCAAUCAAAGGCUCCAAGUAGACGUCUAUAUCAUUUCCGGGUUGUUUAGGACCGGAAAUCAAUAAGGUUAACAUCAUGAACUUUCGUUUCAUGCACAGCCAUGGAGGGAGAUUAUAUGUAACUAAGAUAACCGGCCAACAACUAUAUCUGCUACUUAGAGAACUGUGGGGAUUGAAUCCAUCAGAUGAAAGAGCCAAUCUCAAGUUUCUCGGCUCAUUACCAAACUCAGGCCAUUUAUCAUCAAGAAGUUUCCAAGACGGGGAAUCCGCCGGAUGAGACAUCUGACCGUCAAUUGAUUUUCUAGCAGCAUGCCACCAAGUCAAACUCUUAGCUGUCUCAUGUGAUUGAAACAUCCUUUUAAACCUUGGAAUUGGGGGAAAAUACCACACCACCUUCGCUGGCACACCCUCUUUCAAGAUUGAAUCUUUGCCUUCCUUCCACCUUGAGAUACCACAAGUAGGACAAUUAGUUGAAUCCUCAUACUCCUUCCUAUACAAGAUGCAAUCAUUGGGGCAUGCGUGCAUUUUCUCAUAACUCAGCCCCAAUGCACACAAAGUCUUUUUAGCCUCAUACAUGGAGGUUGGUAUUGUAUUUCCUUCUGGAAGCAAAUCGCCUUGAAGUAUCAAUAAUUCUGUAAAACAGACAUCACUCAUCCCAUGUUUUGCCUUCAAAUUAUACAACUUCACUAAUGCCGAUAACUUCGUGUACUUUCUACAACCAGGGUACACUGGUUGAUCUCCAUCCCCAAUCACAUUGGCAAACUCAUACGGAUCCGAACCAAAAUCACCAAAAUCAUUAUCAUCCAUAUCAAUUUCUUCAGACACAAAACUGUACCUACUAUGGCCAUCAUCUUCUUCAACAUUUCUACUAGCAUUAGUAGUUGCUUCCCAAGGUUCUCCGUGAAAUGUCCAAUUCUUAUAGCUUUGGUCAAUUCCAUUAAAGUAUAAGUGAUCCCUUAUAAUUCCAACCCCAAACAACUUCAAAUUAACACAUUUAACACAUGGACAACGGAUAUGUGUUGUAGUUAGAAGAUUUUCUACAGCAAAGUUCAAAAAUGCUUCCACCCCAAAUUCAUAUGCCUUCGAUCUUCUAUCCGAGUGCAUCCAUGACUUAUCCAUCUCCGACACUAUAACCUAUUAUCUAUAAUAAAGUGAAAAUACAGGCAAUGACCAUCACUAUAGCAGAUUAUAAAAUGAUCUAAUCGCAAGUAAUACACAACAGAGACGACGGGUUUUAAACAAAAACAGACGUAUUUGGCAUAUAUAGACGACGGAUUUUCAACAGACGUCGUCUAUUAUAAGUAAUACAAACGACGGUUUAUGAAAAAACCGUCGUGUAUAAGUAAUACAACGACGGUAGUUUAAAAAAAUCGUCGUGUAAUCGUCGUCGUAAGCCUUAAAAUUCGUCGUGUCUCAGUUUAUUUUCAAGAACACAAAACCCAUUAAGAACACAACAUAUAUAUGAAACCAAGCAAGAAACCAACAUAUACAUGAAACCAAGCAUGAAAACAAUAAAUCCAUUCCCAAUUCAACAUAACAGAUAAUCCAUGAACCCAUUAAACAGAAAAUCCAUGAACCCAUACCUAUAAGCACAUUAUUAACAGAUCGCAAAGCAUACACAUAAAACCCUUUAACAAAACAACCUAAUAUAACUCGAAUCGUUACUAGAAUCAUCACUCGAAUCCCCAUCUUCAUUAUCAGUUUCUUCCUUCGUAGGUACUAUUUGCUCCCCAUCAUUUUCUCCAUAGCGGAAAAUGACAAGAUCAAAUAAAGGUGUACUUUUGCUGGAAAUCAUUUGGAAGUUGGUGAUCUGUGUCUUUUUGUGUUGAUUUCCAGCAAAAGUACACCUUUAUUUGAUCUUGUCAUGAACCCAUUAAACAGAAAAUCCAUGAACCCAUACCUAUAAGCACAUUAUUAACAGAUCGCAAAGCAUACACAUAAAACCCUUUAACAAAACAACCUAAUAUCAUUCAAUGAAUUUACAAGGGGAAGAUAGGGUUUAUACUUACAGGUUGGACGAGCUCACAGAUUCGACGGAGCCUGGAGAGUGCAACUUUUAAUUAGAGCAGAAGUGAGAGAGCGAAAUGUUAUGUCGCGCGAAAUCUGAAAAUUUAAGGUUUCAGGGUUCGAAGUAUAAGAAUAAGAGCCAAAUCUAAAAAAAUUUAGGUCGCGCGAAAAUUUUUAGAGUUCGCGCGUUUUAAAACGUCGAAAGAAAAACCAAGGCGAAAGUUCUACACGUACCGACGUAAAUUUAAUAUUCCACGACGGAAACUUCAUUUUUCGGAUUAAGAACGUAAGGCCGUUCAUUUUGAAGCUUCAUUUUUCGGAUUAAUUUUAAAUUUAUUUUGAAUUUUUUAUAUAACGACGACUGAAAAACCACGUCGGUGUUAAGAAAUUAAAGACGUUGUAAAUUAUAUAAACCGACUUACAUAUUAAAAUGACGUCGUUUAAAGCGUAAACCAUGUCGUAUGUUUUUCUGUACGACGUAAAAUAUGUAUUCCACGACGCAACCACCGUCGUUAAAAAUUAAUACCCUAAACCCAUAAAACUAAAUUAUACAAUUUAAAAAAUUAAGUUUAUAAAAGGUUUUAUGGUUUUAAAGCCUAACAUAUACCCUAGACUACCCAAAAAUUAUACUUUAAAAAUAAACCCCAAUAAAUAACAACCCUAAUCUCUAAACCCUAGACUCUAAACCCUAAACCAUAAAACUAGAAGUGAUUUUAUGACUCAUCAAAACAAUUUUGUUUUGGAUGGUCAUUUUAAAUUUUUGUUAUUCAAAAUGAAUUUUUUCAAGGUUUAUGUGGAAGAAAAUAUAUCAAUGACUUCAUAGGAGUUGACUUUUCAAUUUUCUGAUUUAUUUUAAAUUUAUUUUGAAUAUUUUGAUAUAAAAAUAAUAAAAUAUUCUUACCACAACAACAAACCACGUCGGUGUUAAUAAAUUGUAGACGUUGUAAAUUGUAAUAGACUACUAAGUCGUUAAAAUGACGUCGUUAAAAUGAGAAACCAUGGCGGCUAUUUAACUAUACGACGUAAAAUAUAUAUAUCAACGACUUAACCGCUGUCGUUACAUAAACGUCGUCGAUGAUACCCUGAACCCUUAAGAAAUUGAAGAUGUUGUAAACCAUAAACGACUCAAUUGUUCAAAGAACGUCGUCUAACUAUAUUUUUACGUCGUAUUUGUUUAAAACACGAAACAACAAAAUACGACGGUUUGUGACUUUAUUAGGUCGUUGGAAAAGUAUUACACGUCGGUUAAGCAAUUUGUAUGUUUGUUUUUUUUUUAAUUUAAGAAAACCUCAACAAAUUUUUACAUUACAUAUUAUAGAGAAAAUUUGUACAUUAUACAUAAAUAUCAAGUGUUCAAUAAUUGCCCUGUUUAAUAAUUUGGAAAACAAACUCUGCCCAUUCAUUCCGGACUUCAUCAAUGGCUUCUUGGGGGUAUGAAGCUUCCUGGUUUCCCUUGGCAUACUGCAUAAACAAUGACUAUUAGGGUUUAUAAAUAAAAAGAAAUUCAAUCACAGACGACGAUAUUUUUCAUAACCGACGUAGUAUAUCCAUUCAACGACGUUAAUUUUACAUGACCGUCGUUGAUAAUACAAAAAACGACGUGAAAUGUAUGAAGGUAAUUUCUUCUUACCUUAUUCUCAAACCCCAAGGAAGGAUCCAUGAUGAUGUCCCUCAUGAAGCGCAUCACAUAAUACCCGCAUUCGACAUUGCUGGGUUGCUUUGGUGUGCCUGAGAGAGUUUUCCAAAUUACAUUUUUACGUCCUGCUCGGGCUAUGUGGGUAUUAUAUAUUUUUAAAGCACUGUUCACGAUGUUUUUCGCCUCUUCGUCGACCACACGAUGACCUGGCAGAGGAUCCAGAAAAUAGACGGUCUCCUUCUUUGCUCUUACAAUCAGCAAGAUCCAAUGACGGCUGCACAAAAUUAAUAUAAAAACGACGGUUAUUUACAAAAACGACGUAUUAUAGUAUUCACACGACGAAANNNNNNNNNNNNNNNNNNNNNNNNNNNNNNNNNNNNNNNNNNNNNNNNNNNNNNNNNNNNNNNNNNNNNNNNNNNNNNNNNNNNNNNNNNNNNNNNNNNNCGACGGUUUAUUUACAAAACCGACGUAUAAUAGUAUUUCCACACGACGAAAUAAAGUAGAUAACGACGACAUUAUAUAUUUAUCACGACGAUAAAUAAAUACCGACGUGGUUAGUAGUUUCAAACGACUAAAUAAAAUAAAACACCGACGUGGUUAGUUUAUAAUCUGUCAUUUAUUGAAAAUCAUAAAAACAAAAUCCUAAGGAGACUAACCCUGGAUUGUAAGGCAUCAUGAAAAUCUGUUCACCCGUCUGUCUUCUGAAGUCGAGCUGCUACCAGUCGUGAUCUUUCAGUUAUUGUGCCAGAGUUGGCACUAACUGUAGCAGGGUCGAUAAAGCCAACCAUGCUGCACAUAUUGGCUUGUUUCAAAACAUCGUGUAAGUACCUAAAUACAUAAAAUAAUAUAAACAAGUCAGCACAAACAAACAUGACGGUUAUGUAUAAAAAAACGACGUAUUAUAAUAUUUCACACGACGUACUGAAAUAGAUGAGGACGUUAUAAUAUAUUUAUCACGACGGUAGUUAGUUAAGACGACGUGGUUAGUUAGUUAAGACGACGCAAUAUAUAAACCAACGAGGUAUUAUUUUAGAAGUACAAACCUCAUAUAUACAGCCAAUACAGUAGCUCCAAUUUCUUCCAUGCCUGCAAAUUGUGUAAUAUCUUCAGGCAGGAGGAAGGUAUCGCGCUCACCACCAAACACCUCCUUAUUAAUUGUAAAUUGGAGUGUCUUAUCCUCAGGCAGGAGUGUCGUUUCCACAAAACGACAAAGGGUUUUUAAAGAAGAUGGCGCCUCCAUAUUUGAAUAAGCACCAACUUCAAUAACCUGUUUAAAGAAAUAAAAAAAAUGACAUGGUAAUUCAAUAAAGACGACGGUUUAAGUAAUAAAACGUUGUCUUAAAAGUAUUUAAACGACGGUGAAAAAACCGUCGUGGUAAUUCAAUAAAGACGACGGUUUUAUGAAUAAAGCGUCGUCUGAAACCAUUUAAACGACGGUGCAAAAAUCGUCGUUUAAAUAUUUUAUUACGUCUUAAAAAAAUUCCGCCGUCUAAGUUUUAAACAAACGACGGAUUAAAUAAAAAUAUCGACGUCUGAAAUUUUGAAAAACAAAUAAAAAAGGCAAAGUUAUGUGAACAUACCUUGUCGUCAUGCUUUUCUUCAUCUUCUUUCUCCUUUUCUUCUUCCUUCUCUUCAUCUCUUUUUUCUUCUUCCUUCUCUUCAUCUGGCUGAUGUUUCCCCAUUUUGGCAGUAUCAUCCUCCAAAUGUAGGGAUCUCACAUCACCUCCAGAGCAGCUAGCUUUGUCAGACAUUGGAUUUUUGGGGCUUUGGCUAAUUCUUGGUUUAAGCAUGCUUGGAUCAAAAUUGGGAAUUAAUUGGGAAAGCUGACUCAGGAAAUGCUCCCUCUCAGCCUCUACCAAUUGUUUUGUCCUAGCCUCCAUCCUUAAGGCCUCUUCCCUUGCCUUAGCCUCCAUCUUUUUAGUCUCUUCUUGAAGGAGAACUCUUAAACUGUCCUUCAAACGGUCGUCAAAGCUCACCCUCUGUGGUUUGGGAAAAUUGAAAUAUUGCCUUGGGGAAACACCAGCACCAACUCCCCUCAGUCUGCCUGGAUGCUCGGGGCCCAAAGCCAUGGUCAGCACAUCAUUGCUGCCAUCUACUCUGACUUUGCCUUCCGAGACUUGUUUCUGCAAUUCAUCCUAAAAAAAGAUAAACAAAAAAACACACGACGGUUAUUUAUGUACAAACGACGUAUUAUAUAAUUUCACACGACGCAAUAACGUAUAAACCGACAUUAUUAUAACUUAUCACGACGGUGGUUAUACCGACGUGGUUAUUUAUUUAAAACGACGAAAUGAAUAAACAACCGACGUCUUAUGCUAUAAUUAAAGAUAACAGAGUAGUGACUCCUAUUUAGACCGUUAACGACGUUUUUAAAAAAGUUUCGACGUGGUAAUAUCAUUCACACGACGCGAAAAUGAACCACCGACGUCUUAUGCUAUAAUUACAGAAAACAUAGUAGUGAUUCCUAUUUAGACCUUUAACGACGUUUUUAAAAACUUUUCGACGUGGUAAUAUCAUUCACACGACGCAAAAUAUAACAUACGACGUAAUAAGAAUAAUUCACAGUUUAAUACAAAUUUAAAACAGAGUGAUAGUAGGCUUACUAUUAAUUUUGCUUUCUCUGCCACCUUUGGAUCAGGGAUGUUACCAUGUUUGUCCUGUCUAGCUCUCUUCCAUAAGGUAGAUCGAUCAAUUUCUACCCCAGGCAUGGUUUCCUCCAAUUGAUCCUCCAAUCCAGCAUAUCCUUUUCGAGACAAUCGAUGAUUGUACUCGAGUUUCUCCCUAAUCUGUGCAUGUUGAGAAUGCACAGACUCAAAAUCUUUGGAUAGCCUUGAAGCUACAAAGGCAUCCCAUUGUGCUUUCUCUGUGAAUUUAUAUGUUUCAGGGGGUUGGCUUAAUUUCUCCCUGUCAUUGGUGUAUGGAAGGAUAUAAUGCCUCGUUAGUGUAGACUUGAAAUCCUUCCAUUUCUUGGAAGCAGAAGCUAAAACAGAGGUCUUGCCCCCUUGGCCUACGACAAAAGCCAUGUCAACUGCUUCCCAAAUCUGCUCCUUUAUAUCCUUGGGGAUUUGGGACCAUUUCUUGUCCACAAGUGGGAUCCUGGAGCGUGCCAACACACCAAUAUACGACUGCAUCUCAAUAUGUGCUUGGCCAACACCUUUCCCCCUUUUAUUGUACUCAACAAUUGGCCUCAGUUUCUGAAGCUUUCUCUUCACAACACGAGGCAUUGUGCUCAUACCUCGACCAGUCUUUGAAUCAUCUGAGAUUGUUGUCUGGCUGGUUUGUUCUGUCUCAGCAGAUGAUGAAGCAAACUUCAUCUUCUUCGAAGACUUCAUCUCCUUCGAAGACUUGUCUUGAGGAGCUACCAUUCCAAGCUUCUUGGAGCCAGAAUCCUUAGUUUGUUGUUGAGAAACCAUUUUAACAGACAAAACUGCAAGUGAAAAUAUUUCAGGAAAACAUUAAGAACACAAACGACGGUAUUAAAAAAAUACGACGUAUGAUAUGAUUGUAGACGACGCAAUGAAAUAAUCUCAGACGUAAUAAAUGUUUAAAACCAUUAUUUAUAUAACGUCGUGGUAUAUAUGUUCACACGACGUCAAUAGUAAUACACCGUCGUGGUAAACUAUUAUUUAUAUAACGUCGUGGUAUUUAUGUUCAUAUGACGUCAAUAGUAAUACACCGUCGUGGUAUUAACAUUCACACGACGUAAAACAAUAAGAUAUUUUGUCGUCUAUAUUAGAUACCAACCCUAGUUUCUUUUUCUUUAUAUUUUAUCAAAUAAGGGAAAAACAAAAACCAUUGUUCAGCGAAAUCAAACCUGCAAUUAAACAAGCAUAUAAAAAAAGACUAUUAUUUUAAAAACAACUUUGUCAAUUUUCAGACGACGCUAGAACAACUGACGAACCGUCGUGGUCUACCUUCGUCUUAUUUAGUUGAUGUAGUUGUCUUCAAAGUUGGAAACUUUCACUCUUUGUCUGUAUAUUUUAUCAAACUUGGAAAGAAGUAAAAUGAUUUUGGCCAGAAAAAAGGUAAAAAGAUUUUUCAAACAAAAAACGUAUGAGCAUGCAAAACAGUAACCAAAAUAGUGAAGAUGAAAGCUUACCUUUUGCGUGCAAUGAAAGCAAGAGGAAGAUGAUCGAUGUUUAAGUUCAGAGACGACGAAGAAGACGAGAGGAAGACGAUGAGAAACUCUGACAAUGCUCUGACAAGGAAAAAAGACGAAAAGGUUUCUCUGGGAGAUUGAAAUUUUUAAUCGGGUUUGGAAACAGUGCAUGUGUAAGUCGAAAAGUUGCUUACAUAUAAAACCAUUUCAAAAAAAUAAUACGGCGGUUACAUUUAACUACGUCGUUUUUAACUAAAACGACGCAAUAUUUUUCAUUCGACGUGGAAUCAUUUCAUUUAACGUCGUUAGGUUUAAUAUAACCGACGUGGAUUUUAAUUUUUAAAUUAUGAAUAGAAUUUUUUUUCCCGUGACCUUUCAGUUUAUUUUUCAAUUACAGUGCGUUAUAAAUAGAGUUUUUUUUCCGGAGGAAAUUUAAAACGAAGGAAAUUAAUAUUCUGCAAUAUGUAAAGUUUCUUUUUUGGAUGACAGAUUUAAAUAAAAUAAGAAUAUAAAAACAACAAAUGUGUAAGUCAAGUAGACGAAAAGUUGCUUACAUAUAAAACCAUUUCAAAAAAAUAAUACGGCGGUUACAUAUAACUACGACGUAUAAAUUACAAAAUACGACGGUACAUUUAACUUCGGACAUGGUAAAUAAAUACGACAGUAGUUUGUAGGUACCGUCGUAGUAAACUCAAAAAUUAAAGUACAUAAGUAAUAACUCGCGUCAUGGUAUAUUAUUUAACACGUCGUUUGUAUUAAUUUACCGACGUGGAUUUCUGUAAUAUACGUCGAUAAUACCGACGUUGAUUUUACAAUUUAAACGGCGGUUUUUUUGUAAGGACCGCCGUUGGUUUUAAAAAUUUAUUCUAUAAAUUUGUCGCUUUCAUUCAUUUUCGGUUUACAUUUAAGGUUCCAAGUUCUUCCUCUCUCAGUCUCUCAUGUCUCAAAGACAAUAAUUUGGAUGUUUUCUCAAAGAGAAAUUGAGCUUACUCGCAUCAAAUAUAUGUCCACAAGAAGAAGCUUGUCAACUAGCCUUCUCACUUCCUUGAUCAAGCCUGAUAGGACACUUAGUGCUUCUGAAUACUCCUUGCUUUCCAUCAAAAGAGAUGCAAGCCUGGCCUCCACUCGCUGUCGAAGGAAAGUUCGCUUCUCAGGGAAAUCUGAAGAUCAGAUGUGCCUGAUCCUCUGCUUGAUUUUCUUGCCUAAGAAGAUCCGUCGGAUUUAUUGUGAUAGCCUCUUCCUUUAUCCGUAGAGCUUCAGAAGAAGAAGAUGGGUUUCAAGAAUGCGAUAAAGAAUAGAAAUUGCUUCAGAUGGCCUCUAAAGCAUGAGCAAUUGAAUCAGUAGUUUCUGGGAGAUAUGAUGAAGACAUUGUCAAUGCUUUGAACUACACAAGUCCUGCAGAAAGAUAUGUUAAAGAAACUGAAACAACGGCGGUUUUCUGUUCUACCGUCGUCUUUUAUCGUCGUCUAUAUUAAGUUAAGAUGGCGGUAGAUUUAUAAUUACCGACGUAGAUUAUUUUGUUAAACGUCGUUAAGUGUACUACAACCGACAUGGAUUUUAAUUUUAAAUUAUAAAUAGAGUUUUUUUUCCCGUAUUCUUUCAGUUUUAGUUUUCAAUUCCAAAGCGUGAUAAAUAGAUUUUUCUUUCCCGAGGAAAUUUAAAAUGAGGGAAAUUAAUGUUCUAGAAUUUGUAAACUAACACGACGCAAUAUUUGCAAAUCAGUGUCAUCUGUUAAGAUUAUGAUGUGGAACAGAGUUCCAUCUGGUAAGAUUUCGUAACCCUUGGGAUCUCAGACAAAACUGAUUAUGUCGGCGGUGUUCUAUAUAAACCGUCGUGGUUAUUUCAAUUCUUGUCAUUAAGUAGAUCUACCGACGUAGGAUAAGAAAAUCAAAGAAAAAAAUUGUUAACAAAAAUUCUUAUUAAGACGACCGUUAAAAUUAAAGGUACGACGUAUAAAAUGAAUAAAUACGACGAUAAAUUUUAUUGUACGAUUUAAAGAUAACGUCGUAGAACUAUACGAGAAUGACGUCGAUAUAUUUAUAUUUUCCGUCGUUGUAAAUUAAUUUAAUACGGCGAUAUUUUGUAUUUUAAAGCCGUGGAUUUGUUUGUAAUUAUACGGCGUCUUAUACGAAAACCUCGUCGUGUUAUUUUAUGAGUAAAAACGGCAGUUUUUAUUGAAAUCGUCGUCUUUACUUUCUACGUCGGUCGAUUCAUAACUUCUGCCGUUCUUUGUUGGCAUUGAUUUUACACUGCGGAAAUCUGUUUCAAAUAGACGUCGGUUGUUUAAUUAUGUACGUCGUUGUUUUUGAACAGCCAUUUGAAACUCCAUUUUUUAGUUGUCUAAGGUUGUAUUACACGACGGUGUUUUUAGAACCGUCGUCUUUUUAUAAACCACGACGAUUUUCACUUAGACCGUCGUUGUUUUCUGGUCGUCUUUUUCACUUUUUGUAGUAGUGACUCUUCAGCAAUAUUUUAUCAAAAUAUCGCUAUAAUAUCGAAAAUAUCGAUGUAAUGAAAAAAAAAGAAAAAAGAAGAAGCACAAAACACACAUGCAAAGGGGAUUCAAACUCUUGCCAUUUCACUCUUUCAACGCCUUAACCACCAUGUUGCUUAUGAUUUUUUGAUAAUAUGGUAAAAUAUGUAUAUUUAUAUUCUUUUGUUUUGAACUGUUUUUGUAAGAAUCAGAUUUUCACAUGAGAAUGUGAGUCAUUGACCGUUCUUUUUGGGAUGGAAUCGAGCGGCUCACGGAAAGAAUUUAAGACCCAAAUCUUCAAAUGAUUUUGCUUAUAGACAAUGUCAAUCAAUCUCAGAUCCAUAUGGGUGACAUGUUAACAAUUACAUACAAAACUAUUUUGAGGAUUUAUCAUUUGAUGACUACUCUUCACAAUACACUUAUUCUACACAUAGAGAUGAUGAAGAUAGUGAAAAAUUUGAACUUCAUAGGAACUCUAUGUGGCACUAAGUCACUCAUGUAUCUUAGCAUGCAAGUAUAAAGUGUAAGAUAUUGUAGUAAAUUAUUAUAUAUAAAUGAUUAUGGUGUGUUUAAUCUUCUUUCAUUAAUUAUUACAUAUUUUCUAUACUCACAAUGUUCAUCAGCUUGCUAUAUAAUCAACUUAAAUCAGUUAAACCCAUCAUGCAAUGCAUUUCCUUCCAAUUUUUUGUGACUAAUAGAUAAUUGACUAAAUAAACAUCCUCCAAAGUUUCAAUAAAAUUUUCCAAGUUUUUCUUAUAAUUUACGUCGUUUUUAUUCAAUUUUCAUCGAUAUCAAUAAUAUUCAGAUAUUUCCAUCGAAUUUUCGUGUAUUUGGACUACCGAUAUUUUCGAUACCAUCGAUAUUUUAGACCUUGGGUAUAAUAUAUAUAUAUGAUAAAGAUGGACUCAUUAGAAUUCCAAGUCAUCCAACAUCGGUGGAUUAUGUUCAAUCAAAACUAGAAACUCCGAAAGCCACGAUGUCACACCAUAUGUGAAGCCAAGUCUUCAGAGGUCUAAGCCCAACCCGUGGAAGUAGGCCCAAAACCUCCUGAUGUUUUUAUGCACGUGACGAGAUCCAUCCAAGGAAAGCAGUUGAAGAAAUUGAUGUCAAUCCGGAACAUUCAUAAUGAGGAGAGAAUCAAGUGAUUAGAUUUGCAAUUCGAUAAUCUCAUUCGAAUUAAUUCCGCGGAUUUUGGAAGCUACGAAAAGAAAAUUUUUGAACGAAGUUGACCUUUUGUCAUUUGAUGGCCAACCCAUGGACUGACAGAUGCCCCUAUAUAUACCUCUUUAGAUGAAGAGCAAAGGAGACCGACAUGAGAUACAAAAACCUACUUUUUGUUUUUCACUUUUCUAUCCCUGGACUAGGUUUUUAUUUUCCAAGCAAGUAGACUAGAUUAGUUCUUCGAUUUCGUUAGUGUAAGUUUAAUUUCUUGCAUUUUCCAUUACGUUAUUUUAAGAUCCAAAUUUGUUGCUUUACUUUUAAUUGUUAUCGAUUUUUUUUUAAGUUUAAUAUAAUUUCAAAUUGCUUUAUUUUAUCAUAUUUAUCGUUCAUAUCGUUCAUAUAGUUCUUGUUUCAUUCUUACUUAAAUUUACGUUUAUUGUUGCUUCAAUCUUAUUUUUGCAUUUAUUUUCUUGUUAUUUAGUGGCUUGGUGGCUUGGUUUGCCUCAUACUAUGUAGAAGUGCAUGUACAAUUCGAUUUGAAGGGUGCAAAUUCAAGUGCAAAGAAGACACCAACGGGCACGGGUAGAGGUGGUUCAUCUGCCACAGCUGAGAAAAAAGGCGGCCAAGGUUCGGGGCUGAUGGAAAGAGAAAGAGAAGAAGAGGGAGAUGAAAGAAGAGACGUUGCCUUUCCUUCUUCCUGUAUUUGGCACGUUUUUUAAGAAAAUGUAAAUAGAUUUUUCCUCCACACAAACAUUUUUGGUAGGUCACUUGGUGAGGAACGGUAGGAUCUUCGGUUGUAGUGUUGGCUUACAGGGUUAUACUGGUGAUACUAUUGAAUUCAACUCCAAGAUUUAUCUUUUGCCUUUAGUAGCAUUUUAUUUUCAUCAAUGCACUAGAUAAUGGUUUUAGUAGAUUAACUUGUGUUUACGGUGGUUUGAUAUAGUGUGUCAGGUGACAAUUCUCACUGAGUAAUCUGAGAACCAGAGCUUCUACAAAAUCACUAACCAGUUCAUAAAAUAUGUUUGUCUUUUUCUAAUCUCACCAUGAGAAAUAUUAAUUAAUUUGCCUUAACAAAAAUAAUACAAAGUAUUGGUUUGUAUUAAACUUUGUUGGUUAAUACUUUUUUUAAUAAAAAAUUUGCUGCUGGUUAAUCUCUGGUUAAGCUUAAUAUUUAGGAGGGGUGUGUUUUCUCACACACAAAUGUCAAAGUGCCAUAAGGAUUUGAACAGAAGACUAUUAGUCUGCAAAGCAAGGUACUUUUUCACUAGUGUCCGAAUCAAAUCAUGCUUGAAGAAUACUAAUAGGGGAUUUUUCUUUCAGCUGAUAAAAGUAAAACAUCAAAGCUCAUCAUGGUGAUCGAAAACCAGAUGCAUCCAAAUUGCAAGGCAUGCCUUUCUCUUUGUGGUAGUAUAAUGAGCAUCCCUCUCAUACCCUCCAUAAUAAUCCUAAGCAUUAAUGUUGUAAAUUAGAUAAAUCCAUACAUACAUAAAACGAGCAUAAUAAGUAAUAGUAGCUAGUGGGAAUUAUAUCCCAACAAUUCAACAAGAACGAACAAAGUAGUAAUAUUCUCACUCUCAUAGCAAUACUACAAAUAGUAGGACAAAACAAUAUUGGUAAACACACGAGUGGUCCAUAUAGUUCUCCAGAAAUCCCUAAAAUAGAUCUUGCAUCUAGGUAUGCAACACCAUAUGAAGGGCCCAUACCAUAUGUGAUUAUGAACCUUUAUUUAACUACAUAUAGAUAUAGUAGUACAACAAAUAUUACUGUCCGUCUGGGAAACGGAAACCGUCAAUAUGCUACUGAUAAUAUGUCGAUAUAAUUGUCGCCAAUAAAACGUACUGACAUGUUAUCGAUACAUUUUCAGUAAUAUCGAUGCACAUAUAUUAUUUCAACAAUAUGCACAACCUUUAUUUAAUAAAGAACUGAUGGCUUGCAUAGAGAACUUCUGAGAUAUUCAUCAGAGACGUAUAUGUAAACACCAUUUUUAUUAAGGGGUGGUGGUUAUUGAAGGUGGAGAGAACGGAAAUAUGGGAGUUGAUGGGAAAUUUGGAAGUGAAGUAAUAAUAGGGGGAGGCAACCUAUAUUCUGGCCAUAAAGGUGUGGAGGUCAGAGGAGGAAACUUCAGGUUAGGGAUCUUGGGCAGCUUAUAACGAGGAAAGGUAGGGGCUAAGAGUUUUCGAGGGGCAGCGAAAGCUGAAUGUGUGCUUGAAAGUAAUGAAGCGAUGACAAAGAUAGCUAUGACAAACGAUUUCCAAGUUGCCAUCUUAGUGUGUGGAAAUAAAGCUUAUGAAAUUUGAUGUGAACGAGAAGACCAGCCUAUGGUUAUAAUUUAUAACGUUCAGAGGGAAC